rnacentral:rRNA from 1 species
CAGUAGCCACGGUAAUACGUAGGGUCCGAGCGUUGUCCGGAAUUAUUGGGCGUAAAGGGCUCGUAGGCGGUUUGUUGCGUCGGGAGUGAAAACCCAGGGCUUAACUUUGGGCUUGCUUUCGAUACGGGCAGACUUGAGGCAUUGAGGGGAGAACGGAAUUCCUGGUGUAGCGGUGAAAUGCGCAGAUAUCAGGAGGAACACCGGUGGCGAAGGCGGUUCUCUGGCAAUGUUCUGACGCUGAGGAGCGAAAGUGUGGGGAGCGAACAGGAUUAGAUACCCGUGUAGUCCCUGUCUCUUAUAC